GCGAGCGUGGCGGAACCGGUAGACGCGCUGAUCUUAAAAAUCGGCGGCCUAGAGCCGUGCGGGUUCGAGCCCCGCCGCUCGCA
rnacentral:tRNA from 1 species